GACGAACGCUGGCGGCGUGCUUAACACAUGCAAGUCGAACGGAAAGGCCCUGCUUUUGUGGGGUGCUCGAGUGGCGAACGGGUGAGUAACACGUGAGUAACCUGCCCUUGACUUUGGGAUAACUUCAGGAAACUGGGGCUAAUACCGGAUAGGAGCUCCUGCUGCAUGGUGGGGGUUGGAAAGUUUCGGCGGUUGGGGAUGGACUCGCGGCUUAUCAGCUUGUUGGUGGGGUAGUGGCUUACCAAGGCUUUGACGGGUAGCCGGCCUGAGUGGGUGACCGGCCACAUUGGGACUGAGAUACGGCCCAGACUCCUACGGGAGGCAGCAGUGGGGAAUAUUGCACAAUGGGCGGAAGCCUGAUGCAGCAACGCCGUGUGCGGGAUGACGGCCUUCGGGUUGUAAACCGCUUUCGCCUGUGACGAAGCGUGAGUGACGGUAAUGGGUAAAGAAGCACCGGCUAACUACGUG
rnacentral:rRNA from 1 species